UUUCUAUUUCAGGCUGCUGCACUUUUUUUAACCUUCUGACAGAGGAGGUCUGCUAAUCUGCGGUAAAUAAGGAUUUUCUCCGGUCCGUGAGCACGUUGGUAAAAUAUCCAUUACCAAUUUCCUUGUGCCAAAUUGAGGGAAAUACUCCAUACAGAUGUUUGCUCUGAAGAAAAAAAAACCUGCUGGUGACUGGAGCAAGCAGCAGGAUACAGAAGGAUGCUGAAGACAUUUCAGAAAGGUGUAAAGCAAGAAGUGUGCUUGAAAAUUAAAAUGUAAAAUUUAAAUUGGGUCUGAAAUUAAAAUGGGCAACAGAGUUCAGCGUUUUUUCUUCAGCCUUCCAGUGUGUCUGGAAUAAAUUGGGAGGGAGAGGGGAAAUAAGUGCCUUUCAAUAAAAGGAGGGUUGCUGAAUGUAGUCAGUGCAGUCAUAUUUAGGGAACACCCUGGGGAUGUGUAAUUGGAAGGUAAGAUAGCCCUGUAUAUAAUGUUUUGGUAGGCUGUCAGCAAGUGGCUGUGUUCCAGACACACAUCCAAGACAUUUUCUUCAGUGUGUGAGCUGUGCUCAGCUUGGGGAGGACAAGCUGUGGUGAUAUUGGCUUUUUAUUGUGUCCUGCUCUGCAGAGAGCCCAGCGCCUCGGAGAAGAUAUUUAAGGACGCACUUACAACUUUUGCUUGCCUUCUUUGCUCUGAAUUUUACCAACGAGGUCAGACACCAGCUCCUAAGUGGGAUCUGAUACUGAUUUGAAACACAUUGAGGUUUUCAUCCAAAUCCUUUUCUUCAAGUGCACCGUGGCAAAUCUGGAUGUUUAAUAUAUUUGAG